CUGCCCAAUGAGUAUUUAAAUGGCCGCGGUACUUUGACCGUGCAAAGGUAGCAUAAUCAUUAGUUUUUUAAUUGAAAGCUGGUAUGAAGGGUUGGAUGAGAAAAUUACUGUCUCUGUUUAAAUUAUUUAGAAUUUUAUUUUUAAGUAAGAAAGCUUAAAUAAUAAUAGAAGACGAGAAGACCCUAUAGAGUUUUAUAGAUUUUGAUUUAAGGAAUUUUUGGAAUUAAUAAAUUUUUAUAUUGAAAUUUAUUUAGUUGGGGUGAUUGAAAAAUUAAAAAAACUUUUUUUAUUUAUUAAAACAUUUAUUUAUGAUUAGAUGAUCCUUACUUAAAGAUUAAAAGAAAAAAUUACCUUAGGGAUAACAGCGUAAUUUUUUUAAAGAGUUCAAAUCGAAAAAAAAGAUUGCGACCUCGAUGUUGGAUUAAAAUAAAAUUUUGGUGUAGAAGCUGAAGUAUUUGGGUCUGUUCGACCCUUAAAAUUUUACAUGAUCUGAGUUUAAACCGGUGU
rnacentral:rRNA from 1 species